rnacentral:rRNA from 1 species
AGAGUUUGAUCCUGGCUCAGGACGAACGCUGGCGGCGUGCCUAACACAUGCAAGUCGAGCGAGAUUUCAAGAACUAGCUUGCUAGUUCUUGACUGAUAGCGGCGGACGGGUGAGUAACGCGUGGGCAAUCUGCCCUGUGGAAAGGGAUAGCCUCGGGAAACCGGGAUUAAUACCUUAUGAAGUUAACUUUUCGCAUGAGAAGUUAAUCAAAGAUUUAUCGCCACAGGAUGAGCCCGCGUCCCAUUAGCUAGUUGGUGAGAUAAUAGCUCACCAAGGCGACGAUGGGUAGCCGACCUGAGAGGGUGAUCGGCCACACUGGGACUGAGACACGGCCCAGACUCCUACGGGAGGCAGCAGUGGGGAAUAUUGCGCAAUGGGGGAAACCCUGACGCAGCAACGCCGCGUGAGUGAUGAAGGUUUUCGGAUCGUAAAACUCUGUCUUUGGGGAAGAAUAAUGACGGUACCCGAGGAGGAAGCCCCGGCUAACUACGUGCCAGCAGCCGCGGUAAUACGUAGGGGGCGAGCGUUGUCCGGAUUUAUUGGGCGUAAAGGGUUCGCAGGUGGCCUUUUAAGUCAGAUGUGAAAGAUCAUAGCUCAACUAUGGUAAGCAUUUGAAACUGAAAGGCUUGAGUUAAGGAGAGGAAAGUGGAAUUCCUAGUGUAGCGGUGAAAUGCGUAGAUAUUAGGAGGAAUACCAGUGGCGAAGGCCACUUUCUGGACUUAUUCUGACACUGAAGAAAGAAAGGGGGGGGAAGCAAAACAGGAUAAAAAUACCCUGGUAAUCCCCCCC